UACGUAGGCAGCAAGCGUUGUUCGGAAUUACUGGGCGUAAAGAGUGUGUAGGCGGCCUGUUGCGUCCGCUGUGAAAUCCCGGGGCUUAACCCCGGGCGUGCAGUGGAUACGGGCUGGCUGGAGGCAGGCAGGGGAGAACGGAAUUCCCGGUGUAGCGGUGAAAUGCGCAGAUAUCAGGAGGAACACCGGUGGCGAAGGCGGUUCUCUGGGCAUUACCUGACGCUGAGGAGCGAAAGUGUGGGGAGCAAACAGG
rnacentral:rRNA from 1 species